AUUGAACGCUGGCGGCAGGCUUAACACAUGCAAGUCGAACGAGUGGCGGACGGGUGAGUAAUGUUUGGGAAACUGCCUGAUGGAGGGGGAUAACUACUGGAAACUGUAGCUAAUACCGCAUACCAUCGGAUGUGCCCAAGUGGGAUUAGCUAGUUGGUGGGGUAACGGCUCACCAAGCCGACGAUCCCUAGCUGGUCUGAGAGGAUGACCAGCCACACUGGAACUGAGACACGGGCCAGACUCCGACGGGAGGCAGCAGUGGGGAAUAUUGCACAAUGGGCGCAAGCCUGACGCAGCCAUGCCGCGUGUAUGAAGAAGGCCUUCGGGUUGUAAAGUUCUUUCAGUGGGGAGGCGUUAACUGCAGAAGAAGCACCGGCUAACUCCGUGCCAGCAGCCGCGGUAAUAC
rnacentral:rRNA from 1 species